AGUCGAGGGGUAUAGGUUUUCGGACCUAGAGACCGGCGCACGGGCGCGUAACGCGUAUGCAAUCUACCUUUUACAGAGGGAUAGCCCAGAGAAAUUUGGAUUAAUACCUCAUAGUAUUAUUGAAUGGCAUCAUUUAAUAAUUAAAGUCACAACGGUAAAAGAUGAGCAUGCGUCCCAUUAGCUUGUUGGUAAGGUAACGGCUUACCAAGGCAACGAUGGGUAGGGGUCCUGAGAGGGAGAUCCCCCACACUGGUACUGAGACACGGACCAGACUCCUACGGGAGGCAGCAGUGAGGAAUAUUGGUCAAUGGGCGCAAGCCUGAACCAGCCAUGCCGCGUGCAGGAUGAAGCAUCUAUGGUGUGUAAACUGCUUUUGUACGAGAAGAAACACUCCUUCGUGAAGGAGCUUGACGGUAUCGUAAGAAUAAGGACCGGCUAACUCCGUGCCAGCAGCCGCGGUAAUACGGAGGGUCCAAGCGUUAUCCGGAAUCAUUGGGUUUAAAGGGUCCGUAGGCGGUUUUGUAAGUCAGUGGUGAAAGCCCAUCGCUCAACGGUGGAACGGCCAUUGAUACUGCAAGACUUGAAUUAUUGUGAAGUAACUAGAAUAUGUAGUGUAGCGGUGAAAUGCUUAGAGAUUACAUGGAAUACCAAUUGCGAAGGCAGGUUACUAACAAUAUAUUGACGCUGAUGGACGAAAGCGUGGGUAGCGA
rnacentral:rRNA from 1 species